rnacentral:rRNA from 1 species
UACGUAGGGUGCAACGUUAAUCGGAAUUACUGGCGUAAAGGCGUGCGCAGCGGUUCUAUAAGACAGAUGUGAAAUCCCCGGGCUCAACCUGGAACUGCAUUUGUGACUGUAGAGCUGGAGUACGGCAGAGGGGGAUGGAAUUCCGCGUGUAGCAGUGAAAUGCGUAGAUAUGCGGAGGAACACCGAUGGCGAAGGCAAUCCCCUGGCCUGUACUGACGCUCAUGCACGAAAGCGUGGGGAGCAAACAGG